rnacentral:rRNA from 1 species
AACGGCCGUACCAUGCUGAAUAUACCGGUUCUCGUUAGAUCACCGAAGUUAAGCAUCAUUGGGCGCGGUCAGUACUUGGGAAUUUGGGUGACCAAAUGGGGAACACUGCGUGCCGUU